rnacentral:lncRNA from 1 species
AAAGGAGCAUCUGCCUAGAGCACAUGUGCACAGGUCUGGCUGCUGCUGUUCUCAUUCUCUGGUAACACGACAUUGACUCACAAGUGUUGGACAGAAACCGUCUACAUCUCUGUAACAAGCCCACGGCACCAGGUUUGAUGCAUUCCAAGUGCUGGGAUUAUAAUAGGUACAGAAACCAUCAUGCCUGUUUUAUGUAAGGCCAUGGAGGGAGUCCAGGACCUUGCACUGGGUUGCUCCAACUUCCCAUGUCCAACUGCAAGCAAAAGAGAAAAACACCCAUGAAUGACUGGCAGGGGAAGAAACAGCAAUGUGGACGGACUUCGUUCUCAGCUGCACAGGGACCUGACAGUGGCAACUCACAUGUCAAGAGGCAUAAGAAAAUGACUACUUUCAGGAGUGGAUUCUCAUCUGCCAGGGAUUCAGACAGGACCACCAGCAGAUUGUUAAAUGGUGACCCUGACCUCUUUUUGGUUCAAGUCUGGCUUAAGGAAAUAGAUAUGGCUUC